rnacentral:lncRNA from 1 species
CUCCCAUGAUUUUUUCUUGACCGAUCAAACUUUUGAUCCAGAAAUGACAAAUAAUUUGGCAUAAACGCAUUGGUUGAUAGAACAUGAUUGAUCCAAUGGCCACUCGAAAGAAACUUCAAGAGCGAACAUAUGGUUUAGAAUAUUCACGACCUCGAAGAGGUGUGCAUGGGUUCCAGUUCCGGUCCUGCCUAUGUGGGUGAAUCACUGCAUGGGUAAAUGAUUGGCAAGACUAACAAAACCUGGGUCACAUAAUGCAGAGAAUCCGUGGGUUCAAACCCAGAUGGUGGCAUUGCUGCAUUUCUUCAGAGAAUCUGUGGGUUCAAACCCAGAUGGUGGCAUUACUGCAUUUCUCCGUAAUAUAAAUGAAAGGCAAUACCAAUCUAUACAGCCUAUAAAUCACUCAUGACUAUGUGAAGGUGAAAUGGGCCUUAACUACUUUGAAGCCCGAUAACCUAGCCCCUACUUCAUGGUUGGACUUGAGCUUACACUUUUGGUUUGAGAAAUUCUUUGUGCACAGCAGACGGUGUAAAAAAUUCGACAUAAAAUACAUCAUCUUAUCCGAUUGAUCUAUGUAAUCAUCAUUUUUCAACGCAUAUUUAAUACCUGCAGGUCGGCUUUUUCGUUUAAAAAUUUUAUAUGACAAAAAUAUUUUUGUCCUUUAGAAAAAAUUAUAACAUUCUAUAACAUAUCAUGACCCAGGAUGCCAUAAUAUGGCUCAAAAUAUCAUAAUAUGGAAGAGA